AUGAACACCAAUGUCUGCGUGGAGCCCGGGCCGAGCCCGGAGACCCCGGGCUUGCCCAAGGAAAGCCACCUGCCCGAGGGAGCCCUGAACAGCCUUGUGGAUUACAACUCGGAGAUGGAGCGCUACCGCUCCUUUGCCACCUCCUUCUACAAGACCAACGGGGGCGCCUUCCCGCAGGCGGCCAAGAUCGCGCGCAUCACCACCCCCAUCUUCCCCAGCAGCGCCGCCGCCGCCGCGGCCGCCGCGCGCAUCGGCAUGUCCCCCUGGAACUGCGACAACGCGGCCACCGCCGCCGCCGCCACCGCCAUGCUCUGGGGCAGUGGCGGGGGCGGCGGGGGCGGGGGCGCCGGCGCGGAGCCCAUCUCGGCGCCCUCGCAGCUCCUCCCGGCCGGAGCCGGCCCUGCCCGGCAGCGGCGGCGGCGGCGGCGGCAGGACCAGCAUGCACCACCGAAACGACUCCCAGAGGCUGGGGAAAGCUGGCUGCCCGCCAGAGCCGUCGUUGCAAAUGGCAAAUACUAAUUUCCUCUCCACCUUAUCCCCCGAACACUGCAGACCUUUGGCGGGGGAAUGCAUGAACAAGCUCAAAUGCGGCGCUGCUGAAGCAGAGAUAAUGAAUCUCCCCGAGCGCGUGGGGACUUUUUCCGCUAUCCCGGCUUUAGGGGGCAUCUCAUUACCUCCAGGGGUCAUCGUCAUGACAGCCCUUCACUCCCCCGCAGCAGCCUCAGCAGCCGUCACAGACAGUGCGUUUCAAAUUGCCAAUCUGGCAGACUGCCCGCAGAAUCAUUCCUCCUCCUCUUCGUCCUCCUCGGGGGGAGCUGGCGGAGCCAACCCGGCCAAGAAGAAGAGGAAAAGGUGUGGGGUCUGCGUGCCCUGCAAGAGGCUCAUCAACUGUGGCGUCUGCAGCAGUUGCAGGAACCGCAAAACGGGACACCAGAUCUGCAAAUUUAGAAAAUGUGAAGAGCUAAAGAAAAAACCUGGCACUUCGCUAGAGAGAACACCUGUUCCCAGCGCUGAAGCAUUCCGAUGGUUCUUUUAAAGCAGUAGUAUAUCUUAUUUUCAAGGCAUUUGGAAGUGAAAGGCAAACUAAAUGUCUUGUUUUAAGAAACUGCUUAGUCCACC